rnacentral:rRNA from 1 species
GGUAGCUUGCUACCUGACCUAGCGGCGGACGGGUGAGUAAUGCUUAGGAAUCUGCCUAUUAGUGGGGGACAACAUUCCGAAAGGAAUGCUAAUACCGCAUACGCCCUACGGGGGAAAGCAGGGGAUCUUCGGACCUUGCGCUAAUAGAUGAGCCUAAGUCAGAUUAGCUAGUUGGUGGGGUAAAGGCCUACCAAGGCGACGAUCUGUAGCGGGUCUGAGAGGAUGAUCCGCCACACUGGGACUGAGACACGGCCCAGACUCCUACGGGAGGCAGCAGUGGGGAAUAUUGGACAAUGGGCGAAAGCCUGAUCCAGCCAUGCCGCGUGUGUGAAGAAGGCCUUUUGGUUGUAAAGCACUUUAAGCGAGGAGGAGGCUACUUNGAUUAAUACUCUAGGAUAGUGGACGUUACUCGCAGAAUAAGCACCGGCUAACUCUGUGCCAGCAGCCGCGGUAAUACAGAGGGUGCGAGCGUUAAUCGGAUUUACUGGGCGUAAAGCGUGCGUAGGCGGCUUCUUAAGUCGGAUGUGAAAUCCCUGAGCUUAACUUAGGAAUUGCAUUCGAUACUG